AAUGAACGCUGGCGGCGUGCCUAACACAUGCAAGUCGUACGAGAAAGGGGCUUCGGCCCUGAGUAGAGCGGCGGACGGGUGAGUAACGCGUAGGAAUCUACCUGGUAGUGGGGGACAACAUGGUGAAAACCAUGCUAAUACCGCAUACGCCCUAUGGGGGAAAGCGGGGGACCUUCGGGCCUCGCGCUAUCAGAUGAGCCUGCGUAGGAUUAGCUUGUUGGUGAGGUAAAGGCUCACCAAGGCGACGAUCCUUAGCUGGUCUGAGAGGAUGAUCAGCCACACUGGAACUGAGACACGGUCCAGACUCCUACGGGAGGCUG
rnacentral:rRNA from 1 species